GUGCUCGCUUUGGCAGCAUGUAUACUAAAACUGGAAUGAUACAGAGAAGAUGAGCACGACCCCUGUGCAAAGAUGACAUACAAAUUUGUGAAGUGUUCCAUGUUUUA
rnacentral:snRNA from 1 species